rnacentral:rRNA from 1 species
CCUACGGGGGGCAGCAGUGAGGAAUAAUGGUCAAUGGCCGGAAGGCUGAACCAGCCAUGCCGCGUGAAGGUCAGUGCCCUAUGGGCGUUAAACUUCUUUUGUGCGGGAGCAAUAAUGGUCACGUGUGGCCAGACGAGAGUACCGUACGAAUAAGCAUCGGCUAACUCCGUGCCAGCAGCCGCGGUAAUACGGGGGAUGCAAGCGUUAUCCGGAUUUAUUGGGUUGAAAGGGUGCGUAGGCUGUGAGGUAAGUCAGCGGGGAAAUGCCCCCGCUCAACGGGGUGAAGUGCCAUUGAUACUGCCUUGCUGGAAUGCGGAUGCCGUGGGAGGAAUGUGUGGUGUAGCGGUGAAAUGCAUAGAUAUCACACAGAACACCGAUUGCGAAGGCAUCUCACGAAUCCGCGAUUGACGCUGAUGCACGAAGGCGUGGGUAUCAAACAGGAUUAGAUACCCCGGUAGUC